AAUCCAUUUUUUUAUGUGAGGGCCAGAGGGUUAAAAGUAGAAAUAGAAAAAUAGAAAUUCUUCUAUUUUUUUAUUUUUUUUUUUAUAUGUCAGUAUAUAUUUUUUCAUAGAGAACAGUUGUAAAUAUCAAAAUUAAAACGCGUGCUAAACUAUUUAAAAAUACUAUUUAUUUUUUCAUGUAUUUAUGAAUUGAGAGGGUUGUUAGGGUCGUUUUUGCCCCGCCCACAACAAUUGCUCGAGGUCAGUUGUCCUGUCACAGCCCCCGUCCAAGAAAUGUCGUUAUCUCUGUCGAGGUAAAAACAACUGUUCAUAAAACUGCGGUGUAUUUUGAAAAUAUCUAGUCCAGGGUAACAAGACGGUUAGUUAUGGCCGUUGCGGAACUAGUAGCAAAAUGCUUGCAGGCACGAGAAAUGGCUUACUGUCCGUACAGCGGGUUUCCAGUCGGUGCUGCCGUUUUGACGACAGGGGGCGCCAUUAUCACCGGCUGCAAUGUUGAGAAUGCCUCCUAUGGCCUUACUGUAUGUGCGGAGAGAACUGCAAUACAGAGAGCGGUCGCAGAAGGCUACCGAAGAUUUACAGCCAUAGCUGUCACAUGUGAUAUCAAAGAUAGUUUUGUGGGACCCUGCGGUGCUUGUCGACAGGUAUUAAUGGAGUUUGGCACAGAAUGGGACGUUUACCUCACUAAGCCAGAUGGAACCUAUAAGAAGACCAGUCUCAGAGAGCUCUUGCCUUUAGCGUUCACCCCAGCUCACCUGCAAAAGAACUAAAUGCACUGCCCUCAAAUCAUAUUUAAAAGGCUGUCCUUAAAGUGAUAAAGAGAGCAAAUAAAGGAUAUAGAACUUAAGGAGGUGGAUCAGGAAAAACAGCUAAUAACUUGAGAAACUAAAAAAGAAUUGGCUGCGUAAAGGUCACUGUCCUGAAGAAUGCUGGAGUGAAGUAUACUGGCCUCACCAAAGACGAGGUUUUAUUAUGGCUCGGAUGGACUGGCGUGUUAGCAGGAGCAAUAGUCAUAGUACAGGCCUCACACUGUAAACCCAUUCGUGAGAUGAACGGGUGGAACGAAGGUCCUCUGUA